rnacentral:rRNA from 1 species
UGUUGGGGAUUCAUUUCCUUAGUAACGUAGCUAACGCGUGAAGUUGACCGCCUGGGGAGUACGGUCGCAAGAUUAAAACUCAAAGGAAUUGACGGGGACCCGCACAAGCGGUGGAUGAUGUGGAUUAAUUCGAUGCAACGCGAAAAACCUUACCUACCCUUGACAUGCCACUAACGAAGCAGAGAUGCAUUAGGUGCUCGAAAGAGAAAGUGGACACAGGUGCUGCAUGGCUGUCGUCAGCUCGUGUCGUGAGAUGUUGGGUUAAGUCCCGCAACGAGCGCAACCCUUGUCUCUAGUUGCUACGAAAGGGCACUCUAGAGAGACUGCCGGUGACAAACCGGAGGAAGGUGGGGAUGACGUCAAGUCCUCAUGGCCCUUAUGGGUAGGGCUUCACACGUCAUACAAUGGUGCAUACAGAGGGUCGCCAAGCCGCGAGGUGGAGUUAAUCCCAGAAAAUGCAUCGUAGUCCGGAUCGUAGUCUGCAACUCGACUACGUGAAGCUGGAAUCGCUAGUAAUCGCGGAUCAGCAUGCC